rnacentral:rRNA from 1 species
AUGGAUGGAUGCCUCGAGCAGGUGGCCGAAGUUGACGACGAAGGCGUUGGGCACGGACUCGACGUUGAUCCAGUCGCCCUUGUAGGAGACCUGGAGGCCGGGCACGGUGCUCUGGAGCAGGAGAGUGAUGAGGUUCCGGUCGCAGUGGGGCGGCAGGCCGAGCGUCAGGCCCGGGGCAGGGCACGGCGGGUAGUGGUUAACGUUGAUGAUCACGUUGCCGCCGGUGAGGGCCCCUUCGAAGUAGUCCGGACGGAGCCCCAUGCCCUCGCACAGCAGCCUCAGCAGCUUGCAUCCCCACGCCUCUCGUCGGCUCCACGAACUUCUCCACCACCUCGCUGCAGUCAACACCAAAAUUAG